GGGGUAUUAGCUCAGUUGGUAGAGCGCUACACUGGCAGUGUAGAGGUCAGCGGUUCGAAUCCGCUAUGCUCCACCA
rnacentral:tRNA from 5 species